CCUACGGGGGGCAGCAGUGGGGAAUAUUGCACAAUGGGCGCAAGCCUGAUGCAGCCAUGCCGCGUGUGUGAAGAAGGCCUUCGGGUUGUAAAGCACUUUCAGCGGGGAGGAAGGCGGUGAGGUUAAUAACCUCAUCGAUUGACGUUACCCGCAGAAGAAGCACCGGCUAACUCCGUGCCAGCAGCCGCGGUAAUACGGAGGGUGCAAGCGUUAAUCGGAAUUACUGGGCGUAAAGCGCACGCAGGCGGUCUGUCAAGUCGGAUGUGAAAUCCCCGGGCUCAACCUGGGAACUGCAUUCGAAACUGGCAGGCUAGAGUCUUGUAGAGGGGGGUAGAAUUCCAGGUGUAGCGGUGAAAUGCGCAGAGAUCUGGAGGAAUACCGGUGGCGAAGGCGGCCCCCUGGACAAAGACUGACGCUCAGGUGCGAAAGCGUGGGGAGCAAACAGGAUUAGAUACCCGGGUAGUC
rnacentral:rRNA from 1 species